rnacentral:rRNA from 1 species
GUAGGGUGCGAGCGUUAAUCGGAAUUACUGGGCGUAAAGGGUGCGCAGGCGGCCCCGCAUGUCAGGCGUGAAAUCCCCGAGCUUAACUUGGGAAUGGCGUCUGAAACUAUGGGGCUGGAGUGUGGCAGAGGGAGGUGGAAUUCCACGUGUAGCGGUGAAAUGCGUAGAGAUGUGGAGGAACACCGAUGGCGAAGGCAGCCUCCUGGGCCGACACUGACGCUCAUGCACGAAAGCGUGGGGAGCAAACAGGAUUAGAUACCCUGGUAGUCCACGCCCUAAACGAUGAUGACUAGUUGUUGGAGGAGUUAAAUCCUUUAGUAACGCAGCUAACGCGAGAAGUCAUCCGCCUGGGGAGUACGGUCGCAAGAUUA